rnacentral:lncRNA from 1 species
AAAAAAUGGAAAACUACAUUAAACAUAUGUAAGAUUACUAUUUUUCACUCUACUAAUAAAAUGGAGCUUUUGAGGCUCCAUAGGGCGUCCACAUCAGCGGAAAAAAUUUCUCCCGAAAGAUGACACGUGGCAUAAAAUAUAGUUUUAUAUUUUAAUAUUAAUUAUUUUCGAAAAUUGUAAAAAAUAUGUAAACAUACAGCAUUAAAAAAUGGAAAACUACAUUAAACAUAUGUAAGAUUACUAUUUUUCACUUUAAAAAAAAAGACGGCUUAUCUCCAUAAUAUAACAUUACCGUUUUAUAAAAAAAAAAAUUAUAUAUAAUUUCGAAAAUAAUAAAUAUAUGUAAAACAUACAACAUAAAAAUGGAAAUACUACAUUAAACAUAAAUAUGUUUGACUAUUUGUCCAAGUUCUUCUAUUAAACAUUGCCGUUUUACAUUAAAAAUAGAAAAAUACGUAAAGAUUUAAACAUCUAUCUUAAAAUAUAAAAUAUAGACAUUAACUAAAUAUAAAGUAUAAAAAAGAGAAAUACUCAAUAUUUAAAAAAAUAAAUAAUAAGUAAAUAUUAUAAAUAUAUAAAUAUACGAAUUAUAUAUACAAUAAUAAGUAAAUGCACAAUUUUUUAAAAAUGGAAAGAGUAUAUUAAAUAUUAAACAUCUAUCUUAAAAUGUAAAAUAUAGAUAUUAAGUAAAUAGAAAAUAUAAGAAAAAGAAAUACACAACUUAAAAACAAUGGAAAAAGUAUAUUAAGCUUUAAACAUCUAUCUUAAAAUAUAAACUAUAGAUAUUACGCAAAUAGAAAGUAUAAGAAAAUGAAAUACACAAUUUUAAAAAAUGGAAAAGUACAUUAGUAUUUAAACAUCUAUCUUAAAAUGUAAAUCAAUCUUAAAAUAUAAAAUUAUUAGUAAAUAGAAAGUAUAAGAAAUAAAAAUACACAAUAUAAAGAAAAAUAAAUAAUAAAUAAAUAUAUAAUAUAAUCUCGAAAGAUGACACAUGACAUUAAAAUAUAGUUUUACAUUUUAAUAUUUCUUAUUUUCGAAAAUUAUAAAAAAUAUGUAAACAUACAGCAUAAAAAAAAUGUAAAAACUACAUUAAACAUAUGUAAGAUUACUAUGUUUCACUUAAAAAAAAGACGGCUUAUCUCCAUAAUGUAACAUUACCGUUUUAUAAAAAAAACAAAAAACAUUAUAUAUAAUUUUGAAAAUAAUAAAUAUAUGUAAAACUUACAACAUAAAAAUGGAAAUACUACAUUAAACAUAUGUAAGAUUACCAUUUUACAUUUUUAUUUUAAGAAAAUAAUAUAUAAACAUACAACAUAAAAAAUGAAAAAACUACAUUAAACAUAUGUAAGAUUACCAUUUUCACUUUAAAAAAAGACGGCUUGUCUCCAUAAUGUAACAUUACUAUUUUGUAAAAAAACAAUUAUAUAUAAUUUCGAAAAUAAUAAAUAAUAUGUAAACAUACAACAUAAAAAAUGGAAAUACAACAUUAAACAUAUGUAAAAUUACCAUUUUACAUUUAAAAAUAACAAUAAUAUGUAAACAUACAACAUAAAAAAAUGGAAAAACUACAUUAAACAUAUGUAAGAUUACCAUUGUUCACUAAAAAAAAAGGGUUAUCUUCAUAAUGUAACAUUACCAUUUUAUUAAAAAAAGAAAAAAAAAACAUAAAUAUAACUAUUUGACUAUUUGUCCAAGUUCUUCUAUUAAACAUUGCCGUUUUACAUUAAAAAUAGAAAAAUACGUAAAGAUUUAAACAUCUAUCUUAAAAUAUAAAAUAUAGACAUUAACUAAAUAUAAAGUAUAAGAAAUAGAAAUACUCAAUAUAUAGAAAAUUAAAUAAUAAGUAAAUAUUAUAAAUAUAUAAAUAUACAAAUUAUAUAUACAAUAAUAAGUAAAUGCACAAUUUUUUAAAAAUGGAAAGAGUACAUUAAAUAUUAAACAUCUAUCUUAAAAUGUAAAAUAUAGAUAUUAAGAAAAUAGAAAGUAUAAGAAAAGGAAAUACACAAUUUAAAAAAAUGGAAAAAAUACAUUAGUAUUUAAACAUCUAUCUUAAAAUGUAAAUCAAUCUUAAAAUAUAAAAUUAUUAGUAAAUAGAAAGUAUAAGAAAUAGAAAUACACAAUAUAAAGAAAAAUAAAUAAUAAGUAAAUAUAUAAUAUAAGUGAAUACCAAAUUUAAAAAAUGGGAAAUUACAUUAAUAUUUAAAAAUAUAUAUUAAAAUUUAAAAUAUAGAUAUUACGUAAAUAGAAAGUAAAACAAAUGGAAAUAUACAAUUUAAAAAAAUGGAAAAAAUACAUUAAGAUUUAAACAUCUAUCUUAAAAUGUAAAAUAGAGAUAUUAAGUAAAUUAAAAGUACAAGAAAUGGAAAUACAUAUACAUGAAAAUAAAUAAUAAUUAAAUAAUGUAAAUAUAUAAUAUAUGAAUUAUAUAUGUAAUAAUAAGUAAAUACACAAUUUUUUAAAAAUGGAAAAAGUUCAUCAAGCAUUAAACAUCUAUCUUAAAAUGUAAAAUAUAUAAUAUAAGUAAAUACACAAUUUAAAAAAUGGAAAAAGUACAUUAAUAUUUAAAUAUCUAUUUAAAAAUAUAAAAUAUAGAUAUUACGUAAAUAAAAAUAUAAGAAAUGGAAAUAAACAUUAAAAAAAAAUGGAAAAAAGUACAUUAAGAUUUAAGCAUCUAUCUUUAAAUGUACUUCUAUCUUAAAAUGGUAGUAAAUUAUAUAAAAAUGGAAAUACCACAUUAAACAAAAAAAAAAUGUAUAGUUUUACAUCAAGAAAGUCUCUAUAAAACUCAUUAUUCCAUCCACAUCAACAUCACACUAUUAAGGAAAAUUUCAAAGCACUCGAGCAAAAAAAUGGUUUCACUAUCAACUCUUGCCGUCUCAGAAACCUUUAAUGACCUUAAAUGAGAUUUUUUUAUAACAGCAAACUUUUUGUUAGGUGGAUUCAUUGUUGGGAAACCCGCAACUUCCAAAAGUCAAACUUAUUCAUGGGAAUUGAAUUGCUUUUCAUAGACUCAAAGGUAUUCUUACAAAUUUAAAUUAAUCUAAUCUAUAAUUUUAUUGUUAAUAUUCAUACUAACUCUUUCAUGAUCAAACCAUUUCAGUUAAUAACCAUUCAAGCGUUU